GUACCGUCUACCUUAGUACUGAAUUAGGUAAAACACCAAGACAUGCAGCACUGUCUUUUCGGUACUUUUAUUAAAAAACUGCGGACCACCAACAUGCCGCUUGCGAGAUUCUCACUUCUCAUGCGUUCUUACGUCAUGACGUAAUACGUAUAUCAAUACAUGACAGAGAUAUAACUUUUAAAAUUGAUUAUUUGCUUAUUUUAAUUAAAAAAAAACACGAAGAAAGGAAAACAGGAAAUGGUCCCACAAGGUGGGGUUGAAAGGCGUUGUGGGUAAUGUGGAUUUGUUGUUUUUCUGUGAUUGGGUCAAGGCCAUAGACUGGUCAAGGCACCAGGACCACAGUCUGGAUACGAAGAGUGGAUGACCAGAGUUUGGGGGAUUGUCCCACCAGGUAGCAGCGUCGUCCACCACCUGGGAGCAGCAGGAAGACGAGAAGCAGCUCGGCGGCGCCUCCCAGUGCUCUUAAUGAAACCAGGCGUCAAGCGAAUCCUGGAUGAGCGGAUAUUUACUGAGGCUGUCAGAGGAGAGAGAUGGAAACCAAACCACCGAAAGUGACUGAUGAUCGUCUCCACAAGUCAAACUGAGCAUCAAUGGUAAAUCCAGAGGACUGAUGGUGAAGAAAGAUGAAGUACCAUCAUGAGGAUGUUGAGACUGACUGCAAACUGGAGUCAGAAAACGUACCCGUCAAAGCUGUUGGACCUGACCCCUCCCCACAUUUGCAAGAUUGUGGUAACCUAACGGUGACAACAAGCGAUCUGUUAACCUGUGUAGGCGCUAAGUAUGCGGCCCAGCCUUGCUCACCACACAGUUGAUGCACUGGAACCGUGCAGUUACUUUUUCAAGGUUCAAAAAUAUAUUUGUCUUUAAAAUUAGUUAGUGUUUAAAUAUUAUGUUUAGUGUUUAAAGUAUAUUCAUCUAUAUAAGUGUGUAAAAGUGUAUUAACCUAUAUUUUUAAGUGUAUUAAAGUGUUUUAAUGUAUAAGUGUGUUAAAGUAUAUUCAUAUUUCUAAGUGUAUUAAUCUAUA